rnacentral:rRNA from 1 species
GAUUAAGAUGGCAUGCGUAAGAUUAGAUAGUUGGCGAGUAACGGCUCACCAAGUCUACGAUCUUUAGGGGCUCUGAGAGGAGAAUCCCCCACACUGGCACUGAGAUACGGGCCAGACUCCUACGGGAGGCAGCAGUAGGGAAUAUUGGGCAAUGGGCGAAAGCCUGACCCAGCCACGCCGCGUGCAGGAAGACGGCCCUCUGGGUUGUAAACUGCUUUUAACUGGGAAGAAAAGAGGCCUUGCGAGGCAAGUUGACGGUACCAGUUGAAUAAGCCACGGCUAACUACGUGCCAGCAGCCGCGGUAAUACGUAGGUGGCAAGCGUUAUCCGGAUUUAUUGGGUUUAAAGGGUGCGUAGGCGGCUUAAUAAGUCAGUGGUUAAAGGUAGCAGCUUAACUGUUUUACAUGCCACUGAUACUGCUAAGCUUGAGUUGACAGAAGGCAGAUAGAAUUUCUGGUGUAGCGGUGAAAUGCUUAGAUACCAGAAGGAAUACCGAUUGCGAAGGCAGUCUGCUGCAGUCACACUGACGCUGAGGCACGAAAGUGCGGGGAUCAAACAGGAUUAGAUACCCUGGUAGUCCGCACAGUAAACGAUGAUUACUAGAUGUUGGCCAUGCCAGUGUCCAAGGGAAACCGAUAAGUAAUCCACC